AUUCCAGCUCCAAUAGCGUAUGUUAAAGUUGUUGCGGCUAAAAAGCUCGUAGUUGGAUUUCUGUUGAGGACAUCUGGUCCGCUCUAUGAGCGUGCAUCUAGUUUGGCCUCGGCAUCCGUUCUGCAAACGUUUCUGCGCUUGACUGCGUGGUACGGAGGUAGGACCUUUUACUUUGAGGAAAUUAGAGUGUUCACGGCAGGCAAUCGCCUUGAAUAUAUUAGCAUGGAAUAAUAACAUAGGAUCUUGGUUCUAUUUUGUUGGUUUCUAGGGCUAAGAUAAUGAUUAAUAGGGACAAUUGGGGGCAUUCGUAUUGCGGUGUCAGAGGUGGAAUUCUUGGAUUACUGCACGACGAACUACUGCGAAAGCAUUUGCCAAGGAUGUUUUCAUUA
rnacentral:rRNA from 1 species